rnacentral:rRNA from 1 species
GAUGAACGCUAGCGGCAGGCCUAACACAUGCAAGUCGAACGGUAACAGCAGAGCUUGCUCUGGCUGACGAGUGGUGCACGGGUGCGUAACGCGUAUGCAACUUACCCCAAACUGGAGAAUAGCCUUUCGAAAGGAAGAAUAAUACUCCAUAGUAUUUCAAAGAGGCAUCUCUUUGUUCUUAAAGCUUCGGCGGUUUGGGAUGGGCAUGCGUUCUAUUAGUUAGUUGGUGAGGUAACGGCUCACCAAGACCACGAUAGAUAGGGGGCCUGAGAGGGUUAUCCCCCACACUGGUACUGAGACACGGACCAG